UACGUAGGGCGCAAGCGUGUCCGGAUUUAUUGGGCGUAAAGGGCUCGUAGGCGGUUCGUCACGUCGGGAGUGAAAACUCGGAGCUUAACUCCGAGCCUGCUUCCGAUACGGGCAGACUAGAGGUAGGCAGGGGAGAGCGGAACUCCUGGUGUAGCGGUGGAAUGCGCAGAUAUCAGGAAGAACACCGGUGGCGAAGGCGGCUCUCUGGGCCUUACCUGACGCUGAGGAGCGAAAGCGUGGGUAGCGAACAGG
rnacentral:rRNA from 1 species